rnacentral:rRNA from 1 species
AGAGUUUGAUCCUGGCUCAGGAUGAACGCUAGCUACAGGCUUAACACAUGCAAGUCGAGGGGCAGCAUUGGAGUAGCAAUACUUCAGAUGGCGACCGGCGCACGGGUGAGUAACACGUAUCCAACCUGCCGCUUACUCGGGGAUAGCCUUUCGAAAGAAAGAUUAAUACCCGAUGGUAUAAAGAGUUCGCAUGUUCUCUUUAUUAAAGAAUUUCGGUAAGCGAUGGGGAUGCGUUCCAUUAGAUAGUUGGCGGGGUAACGGCCCACCAAGUCUACGAUGGAUAGGGGUUCUGAGAGGAAGGUCCCCCACAUUGGAACUGAGACACGGUCCAAACUCCUACGGGAGGCAGCAGUGAGGAAUAUUGGCCAAUGGACGAGAGUCUGAACCAGCCAAGUAGCGUGAAGGAUGACUGCCCUAUGGGUUGUAAACUUCUUUUAUAAGGGAAUAAAGUGAGGGACGUGUCCCUUUUUGUAUGUACCUUAUGAAUAAGGAUCGGCUAACUCCGUGCCAGCAGCGGC